GACAGUUACAUAUUUAGGUCACGUAUAUGUGUUUUUAUGUGUGUUUUUCCUCUUAAGAUAUGGUUUUGCAUCAAGGGUUCUUGUAUGCCACUGUUUAGGUAUAAACAUGUCCAUCAACCGUAUGAUUUGCAGUUUACUGGAAACAAUGAUUGCAUGUUUGGUCUCUUAAAUGAGAUUUUAGUCACAAUAUCCUGCAUCAGAGAAAUUUGUUACAAAUGGAAACAAUUUAUCUGGCUUUGAUGCUAAUGUAUGGUUAGAAAAAUAACUCUUGACCGGUGCAUCUGUUUCAUAGAUGAUUAUGUCUCAUUAUAUUUUUAUCGUUCUUCUAUUUUUCUUAAGGAAAAUUUUUCUGGUUAGUUAAUAUGCUCCCGUUGAAGAUUGUCAGUCAUUCCAUCUGUUGUGUCUUUUAAAGAGUAGGUUGAAUCACAAACUGAUUUGGAUCCAUCUGUUGAGAGGUCGAUCCAUUUACUUUGUGUUAUUCCCAGCUGGAAUGAGAAAAAUGUUCAGGUGAGAAAAUCUUCAAAUGAUGUAAGAGGAAAGAGGCUGCUGCUGAACUAACAGAACUUGCAUCCACCAAAAAGAUUGCUCUUGGAGAUUUUUUAGAAGUUUAUCGAACAAUAA